rnacentral:rRNA from 1 species
GCAUAUCAAUAAGCGGAGGAAAAGAAACCAACAGGGAUUGCCUCAGUAGCGGCGAGUGAAGCGGCAAAAGCUCAAAUUUGAAAUCUGGCGUCUUUGGCGUCCGAGUUGUAAUUUGAAGAAGGUAUCUUUGGGCCCGGCUCUUGUCUAUGUUCCUUGGAACAGGACGUCACAGAGGGUGAGAAUCCCGUGCGAUGAGAUGACCCGGGUCUGUGUAAAGUUCCUUCGACGAGUCGAGUUGUUUGGGAAUGCAGCUCUAAGUGGGUGGUAAAUUCCAUCUAAAGCUAAAUAUUGGCGAGAGACCGAUAGCGAACAAGUACAGUGAUGGAAAGAUGAAAAGAACUUUGAAAAGAGAGUGAAAAAGUACGUGAAAUUGUUGAAAGGGAAGGGCUUGAGAUCAGACUUGGUAUUUUGCAUGCUGCUCUCUCGGGGGCGGCCGCUGCGGUUUACCGGGCCAGCAUCGGUUUGGAGCGGCAGGAUAAUGGCGGAGGAAUGUGGCACGGCUUCUGCUGUGUGUUAUAGCCUCUGACGAUGCUGCCAGCCUAGACCGAGGACUGCGGUUUUUAACCUAGGAUGUUGGCAUAAUGAUCUUAANUCGCCCGUCUUGAAACACGGACC